CAGUCGAACGGAGUGCCCUUGAAGGAGUUUUCGGACAACUGAAAGGACUACCUAUGUGGCGGACGGGUGAGUAACGCGUGAGUAACCUGCCUUGGAGUGGGGAAUAACAGUUGGAAACAGCUGCUAAUACCGCAUAAUAUGUCUGUGUCGCAUGGCACUGGACAUCAAAGAUUUAUCGCUCUGAGAUGGACUCGCGUCUGAUUAGCUGGUUGGCGGGGUAACGGCCCACCAAGGCGACGAUCAGUAGCCGGACUGAGAGGUUGGCCGGCCACAUUGGGACUGAGACACGGCCCAGACUCCUACGGGAGGCAGCAGUGGGGAAUAUUGGGCAAUGGGCGCAAGCCUGACCCAGCAACGCCGCGUGAAGGAAGAAGGCUUUCGGGUUGUAAACUUCUUUUCUCAGGGACGAAGAAAGUGACGGUACCUGAGGAAUAAGCCACGGCUAACUACGUGCCAGCAGCCGCGGUAAUACGUAGGUGGCAAGCGUUAUCCGGAUUUACUGGGUGUAAAGGGCGUGUAGGCGGGACUGCAAGUCAGAUGUGAAAACCACGGGCUCAACCUGUGGCCUGCAUUUGAAACUGUAGUUCUUGAGUACUGGAGAGGCAGACGGAAUUCCUAGUGUAGCGGUGAAAUGCGUAGAUAUUGGGAGGAACACCAGUGGCGAAGGCGGUCUGCUGGACAGCAACUGACGCUGAGGCGCGAAAGCGUGGGGAGCAAACAGGAUUAGAUACCCUGGUAGUCCACGCUGUAAACGAUGGAUACUAGGUGUGGGGGGACUGACCCCCUCCGUGCCGCAGUUAACACAAUAAGUAUCCCACCUGGGGAGUACGAUCGCAAGGUUGAAACUCAAAGGAAUUGACGGGGGCCCGCACAAGCGGU
rnacentral:rRNA from 1 species